rnacentral:rRNA from 1 species
CACGACUACAUUAGAUACCCGCGUAGUCCCAGCCGUAAACUAUGCGCGUUAGGUGUAUCGGUGACCACGAGUCACCGAGGUGCCGAAGGGAAACCGUGAAACGUGCCGCCUGGGAAGUACGGUCGCAAGGCUGAAACUUAAAGGAAUUGGCGGGGAGCACCACAACGGGUGGAGCCUGCGGUUUAAUUGGACUCAACGCCGGGAAGCUCACCGGAUAAGACAGCGGAAUGAUUGCCGGGCUGAAGACUCUGCAUGACUAGCUG